AGUGAACGCUGGCGGUAGGCCUAACACAUGCAAGUCGAACGGCAGCACAGGAGAGCUUGCUCUUUGGGUGGCGAGUGGCGGACGGGUGAGGAAUACAUCGGAAUCUACUUUUUCGUGGGGGAUAACGUAGGGAAACUUACGCUAAUACCGCAUACGACCUACGGGUGAAAGCAGGGGACCUUCGGGCCUUGCGCGAUUGAAUGAGCCGAUGUCGGAUUAGCUAGUUGGCGGGGUAAAGGCCCACCAAGGCGACGAUCCGUAGCUGGUCUGAGAGGAUGAUCAGCCACACUGGAACUGAGACACGGUCCAGACUCCUACGGGAGGCAGCAGUGGGGAAUAUUGGACAAUGGGCGCAAGCCUGAUCCAGCCAUACCGCGUGGGUGAAGAAGGCCUUCGGGUUGUAAAGCCCUUUUGUUGGGAAAGAAAUCCAGCUGGCUAAUACCCGGUUGGGAUGACGGUACCCAAAGAAUAAGCACCGGCUAACUUCGUGCCAGCAGCCGCGGUAAUACGAAGGGUGCAAGCGUUACUCGGAAUUACUGGGCGUAAAGCGUGCGUAGGUGGUCGUUUAAGUCCGUUGUGAAAGCCCUGGGCUCAACCUGGGAACUGCAGUGGAUACUGGGCGACUAGAGUGUGGUAGAGGGUAGCGGAAUUCCUGGUGUAGCAGUGAAAUGCGUAGAGAUCAGGAGGAAC
rnacentral:rRNA from 2 species